AUUGAACGCUGGCGGCAGGCCUAACACAUGCAAGUUGAGCGGAGCGGCGGACGGGUGAGUAAUGCCUAGGUAUCUGACUGGUAGUGGGGGAUAACGUCCGGCAACGGGCGCUAAUACCGCAUACUAUCAGAUGAGCUUAGGUCGGAUUAGCGAGUGGGUGGGGUAAGGGCUUACCAAGGCGACGAUCCGUAACUGGUCUGAGAGGAUGAUCAGGCACACUUGAGCUGGUGCACGGUCCAGACGCCUACGGGAGGCAGCAGUGGGGAAUAUUGGACAAUGGGCGGAAGCCUGAUGCAGCCAUGCCGCGUGGGUGAAGAAGGUCUGCGGAUUGUAAAACACUUUUAGUUGGGAGGCGUUACCUGCAGAAUAAGCACCGGCUAACUUCGUGCCAGCAGCCGCGGUAAUUC
rnacentral:rRNA from 1 species